GUGGCCGUGGCGUAACGGUAGCCGCGUCGCGCUUAAACCGCGAUGGACCUUGUCUGUGCAGGUUCGAGUCCUGUCGGCCACA
rnacentral:tRNA from 1 species